AAUGGAGGGAACUCUGAUCCAGCCAUGCCGCGUGAAGGAAGAAGGCCCUACGGGUUGUAAACUUCUUUUGAGUGGGAACAAAAUACCCGAUUAAUCGGGAGCUGAGGGUACCACUAGAAUAAGCACCGGCUAACUCCGUGCCAGCAGCCGCGGUAAUACGGAGGGUGCAANCGUUAUCCGGAAUCACUGGGUUUAAAGGGUGCGUAGGCGGUAAGAUAAGUCAGUCGUGAAAUUCUUCGGCUUAACCGAUAGGACUGCGAUUGAUACUGUUUUACUCGAAUCAAGUUGAGGUAGGCGGAAUGUGACAUGUAGCGGUGAAAUGCAUAGAUAUGUCAUAGAACACCGAUUGCGAAGGCAGCUUGCUGGGCUUUGAUUGACGCUGAGGCACGAAAGCGUGGGGAGCAAA
rnacentral:rRNA from 1 species